rnacentral:rRNA from 1 species
UACGUAGGGUGCAAGCGUUGUCCGGAAUUAUUGGGCGUAAAGAGCUCGUAGGCGGUUUGUCGCGUCGACUGUGAAAACCCGCGGCUCAACCCAGGAACUGCGUCCGAUACUGGCAGGCUUGAAUUCGGGAGAGGGAUGCGGAAUUCCAGGUGUAGCGGUGAAAUGCGUAGAUAUCUGGAGGAACACCGGUGGCGAAGGCGGCAUCCUGGACCGAUAUUGACGCUGAGGCGCGAAAGCCAGGGGAGCAAACGGG